AACUUACCAGGUCAAGACAUGGGCGUGAUUGACAGGCUAAUGACUUUUCUCGAUUCCAUGGAUGGUGGUGCAUGGUCGCACUUAGUUGGUGCAGUGAUUUGUCAGGUUUAUUCCGGUAACGAACGAGACCUCGGCCUUGUAAAUAGCUAUGCUGCUUACAGGGACAUUGGCGGCUACGCCAAGGAAGCUCGAGGCAAUUGCAGAUCUGGAAUGCCCUUAGAUGUCCUGGGUCGCACGCGUGCUACAAUGACGCCACGAACGAGCUUGCGUGAUGAAAGUUACGCAUAAUCAGCAGUCGGCGUCUUAAGGGAUAGUCUCUUGUAACUGUGGGACUCCAACUAGGAAUGUCUCGUAAGCACAAGUCAACAUCUUGUGUUGAUUACGUCCCUGCUCUUUGUACACACCGCCCGUCGCUCCUACCGAUUGAGUGCUUAGGUGAAUUUGAUGGACGUAAGGAAGUCAAAUAAACCUGAGCACUAGAGAAGAGAAGUCGAGCAUGC
rnacentral:rRNA from 1 species